rnacentral:rRNA from 1 species
CAGCAGCCACGGGAAUACAUAGGUGGCAAGCGUUGUCCGGAAUUAUUGGGCGUAAAGGGCUCGCAGGCGGUUUCUUAAGUCUGAUGUGAAAGCCCCCGGCUCAACCGGGGAGGGUCAUUGGAAACUGGGAAACUUGAGUGCAGAAGAGGAGAGUGGAAUUCCACGUGCAGCGGUGAAAUGCGUAGAGAUGUGGAGGAACACCAGUGGCGAAGGCGACUCUCUGGUCUGUAACUGACGCUGAGGAGCGAAAGCGUGGGGAGCGAACAGGAUUAGAUACCCCAGUAGUCCCUGUCUCUUAUAA